UACGUAGGGGGGCUAGCGUUGUUCGGAAUUACUGGGCGUAAAGCGCGCGUAGGCGGUUUUUUAAGUCAGAGGUGAAAGCCUGGAGCUCAACUCCAGAACUGCCUUUGAAACUGGAAAACUUGAAUCUUGGAGAGGGCAGUGGAAUUCCGAGUGUAGAGGUGAAAUUCGUAGAUAUUCGGAAGAACACCAGUGGCGAAGGCGACUGACUGGACAAGCAUUGACGCUGAGGUGCGAAAGCGUGGGGAGCAAACAGG
rnacentral:rRNA from 1 species